GAUGAACGCUGGCGGCGUGCCUAAUACAUGCAAGUCGAGCGAACAGACGAGGAGCUUGCUCUUCUGACGUUAGCGGCGGACGGGUGGGUAACACGUGGAUAACCUACUUAUAUGACUGGGAUAACUUCGGGAAACCGGUGCCAAUACCGGAUAAUAUAUUGAACCGCUUGGUUCAAUAGUGAAUGACGGUUUUGCUGUCACUUAUAGAUGGAGCCGCGUCGCAUUAGCUAGUUGGUAAGGUAACGGCUUACCAAGGCGACGAUGCGUAGCUGACCUGAGAGGAUGAUCAGCCACACUGGAACUGAGACACGGUCCAGACUCCUACGGGAGGCAGCAGUAGGGAAUCUUCCGCAAUGGGCGAAAGCUUGACGGAGCAACGCCGCGUGAGUGAUGAAGGUCUUCGGAUCGUAAAACUCUGUUAUUAGGGAAGAACAGAUGUGUAAGUAACUAUGCACGUCUUGACGGUACCUAAUCAGAAAGCCACGGCUAACUACGUG
rnacentral:rRNA from 1 species